GACAGAGGGUGCAAACGUUGUUCGGAAUUACUGGGCGUAAAGCGCGUGUAGGCUGCUCGGAAAGUCGGAUGUGAAAGCCCUGGGCUCAACCUAGGAAGCGCAUUCGAAACUUCCGAGCUGGAGUGCUGGAGAGGAAGGCGGAAUUCUCGGUGUAGAGGUGAAAUUCGUAGAUAUCGAGAGGAACACCGGUGGCGAAGGCGGCCUUCUGGACAGUAACUGACGCUGAGACGCGAAAGCGUGGGGAGCAAACAGG
rnacentral:rRNA from 1 species